rnacentral:rRNA from 1 species
UCUACGGGAGGCAGCAGUGGGGAAUAUUGGACAAUGGGCGAAAGCCUGAUCCAGCCAUGCCGCGUGUGUGAAGAAGGCCUUCGGGUUGUAAAGCACUUUCAGUGGGGAAGAAAGCCUUGGGGCUAAUACCCUCGAGGAAGGACAUCACCCACAGAAGAAGCACCGGCUAACUCCGUGCCAGCAGCCGCGGUAAUACGGAGGGUGCGAGCGUUAAUCGGAAUUACUGGGCGUAAAGCGCGCGUAGGCGGUCUGAUAAGCCGGUUGUGAAAGCCCCGGGCUCAACCUGGGAACGGCAUCCGGAACUGUCAGGCUAGAGUGCAGGAGAGGAGGGUAGAAUUCCCGGUGUAGCGGUGAAAUGCGUAGAGAUCGGGAGGAAUACCAGUGGCGAAGGCGGCCUUCUGGACUGACACUGACGCUGAGGUGCGAAAGCGUGGGUAGCAAACAGGAUUAGAUACCCUUGUAGUC